rnacentral:rRNA from 1 species
GACGAACGCUGGCGGCGUGCUUAACACAUGCAAGUCGAACGAAGUGGCGAACGGGUGAGUAACGCGUAAUUAACCUGCCCUUCAGAGGGGGACAACAGUUGGAAACGACUGCUAAUACCGCAUACUAUCAGAUGAGCCUAGGUCGGAUUAGCUAGUUGGAGGGGUAACGGCCCACCAAGGCGAUGAUCAGUAGCCGGUCUGAGAGGAUGAACGGCCACAUUGGGACUGAGACACGGCCCAGACUCCUACGGGAGGCAGCAGUGGGGAAUCUUCCGAAAUGGACGAAAGUCUGACGGAGCAACGCCGCGUGAGUGAUGACGGCCUUCGGGUUGUAAAGCUCUGUUAAUCGGGACGCGGUACCGGAAUAGAAAGCCACGGCUAACUACGUGCCAGCAGCCGCGGUAAUUC